rnacentral:rRNA from 1 species
CCUACGGGUAGCAGCAGUGGGGAAUAUUGGACAAUGGGCGAAAACUGAUCCAGCCAUGCCGCGUGUGUGAAGAGGUCUUCGGAUUGUAAGCACUUUAAGUUGGGAGGCGUUACCGACAGAAUAAGCACCGGCUAACUCUGUGCCAGCAGCCGCGGUAAUACAGAGGGUGCAAGCGUUAAUCGGAAUUACUGGGCGUAAAGCGCGCGUAGGUGGUUUGUUAAGUUGGAUGUGAAAGCCCCGGGCUCAACCUGGGAACUGCAUCCAAAACUGGCAAGCUAGAGUACAGUAGAGGGUGGUGGAAUUUCCUGUGUAGCGGUGAAAUGCGUAGAUAUAGGAAGGAACACCAGUGGCGAAGGCGACCACCUGGACUGAACUGACACUAAGGUGCGAAAGCGUGGGGAGCAAACAGGAUUAGAUACCCCUGUAGUC